AUGAACGCUAGCGGCAGGCUUAACACAUGCAAGUCGAGGGGUAUAGUAGCAAUACUAGAGACCGGCGCACGGGUGCGUAACGCGUAUGCAAUCUACCUUUGCAGAGGGAUAGCCCAGAGAAAUUUGGAUUAAUACCUCAUAGUAUAUAUGGAUGGCAUCAUUUAUAUAUUAAAGUCACAACGGCAAAAGAUGAGCAUGCGUCCCAUUAGCUUGUUGGUAAGGUAACGGCUUACCAAGGCAACGAUGGGUAGGGGUCCUGAGAGGGAGAUCCCCCGACACUGGUACUGAGACACGGACCAGACUCCUACGGGAGGCAGCAGUGAGGAAUAUUGGACAAUGGGCGCAAGCCUGAUCCAGCCAUGCCGCGUGCAGGAUGACGGUCCUAUGGAUUGUAAACUGCUUUUGCACAGGAAGAAACAACGCUACGUGUAGCGUCUUGACGGUACUGUGAGAAUAAGGAUCGGCUAACUCCGUG
rnacentral:rRNA from 1 species